rnacentral:rRNA from 1 species
GAUGAACGCUAGCGGCAGGCCUAAUACAUGCAAGUCGAACGGUGUAGCAAUACACAGUGGCGCACGGGUGCGUAACACGUAUGCAACCUACCUUACAUUGGGGGAUAGCCUUUCGAAAGGGAGAUUAAUACCGCAUAAGACAGUAACUAGGCAUCUAGUAGCUGUUAAAGAUUUAUCGAUGUAAGCUGGGCAUGCGUCCAAUUAGUUAGUUGGCGAGGUAAUGGCUCACCAAGACGAUGAUUGGUAGGGGAACUGAGAGGUCAAUCCCCCACACUGACACUGAGAUACGGGCCAGACUCCUACGGGAGGCAGCAGUAGGGAAUAUUGGGCAAUGGGCGCAAGCCUUACCCAGCCAUGACGCGGGCAGGAAGAAGGCGUUAUGCGUUGUAAACUGCUUUUAUACAGGAAGAAACGACCCUUGCGAGGGGCAUUGACGGUACUGUAUGAAUAAGCACCGGCUAACUCCGUGCCAGCCGCCGCGGUAACAC